GGACUUGUAGCUCAGUUGGUUAGAGCAACAGACUCAUAAUCUGGAGGUCC
rnacentral:tRNA from 1 species